UAACUCGAGAAGCCCUAAUUGCUGGUUUCUCAACAAAAAUAAAGCUUGUAAUUCGGAUUCCCGCAUGCGAUUAACAGAAGCGUCGAAGUUAACAUUGGAAGCCCUAGAUUGGAAUAAGGAUUUGAUGUCUGUAGUGAAAUAGGUUAGAACGAAGAGAAGAGGAAGGAAAAUUGCAAAGAGAUACCUCUUGUUGAAGCUUGAAAGAAGACGUCGAUUGGUUGGAGUUAUUGAGGGGUUGUCGAAUUCAUCAAUGUGGAAACUGGAACGAGGAUGAGGAAGAGGAGGAGGGUAAGAUUUGGUUCUUCUGGUAUCGUUUUGAUGAAUUAGGGUUUGCUGAUCCUCUUCAUCGUCUGAGGAUUCUCUGCUGUGCAUCAUUAAUUAUUAUUACUACUACUAUUUACUGGGUAAGAAUAAUAUUAUGGCUCCACCAGAGAGAACCAAAAGAGGUAGUAGUGGUAACAAUGCUUUCUUUCUCGAUCGAUCAAUCGGUCCUCAUAUUCAUUUUUGUUCCUGUUAGAUUUGAAAGGCCUUAUUAGGGAAGAAGAAGAAGAAGAAGAAGAAGAAGAAGAAGAAGAGUAACUUCUUCUGCCCGACUAGACGAGAGAGAGAGAGAGUGUGUGUGUGCGAGUGAAGAAUGGAAUUACAUUUCAGUGAGACAAUGGAGCUCAUUAUUACCAUAUUACCCCCACACCAGAUUAGGUGGAUCAAGGGAAUGUGACCAACUAACUAACAAACCAAACAACCAACCUGGACACUGAAAUAAAAAUGAUGGUCUAUUGAUUAGCUGGCUCGUUGCACAUAAAUGAGAGCGGUUAGUAUAACGUUAAUUUUGAUCAAUUAAUUACUUCUUUCAUUCCUAAAUAAAUGUCAAUUAAGAAAGUCAUUUAAUACUAUUAUUUUAUAAUUAAAAUUUGUGUGAAAUUUCAUCACUAUCCUUUUAUGGGAAGUUAAAAACUAUUAAUACUAAGGGUAAGAAUUUCUUAGGACAAUGAGAAGGUAACGGGUGAUAUAGGAAAAUAAAUAAUUUAUUCUCCUAGAAAAUUAUAAAUAAAUUAGAACAAAUUUUUCCUUCUAAAACGUCACUUAUUUAGAAACAGAGGGAGUAAUAUAUUAUUAAUAGGAGGUAAUCUCUUUUAGCAUAUCAGUAAUAAAAUGGUCAAUUCACAAAUAUAUCAUAAAGUUAAUUUUAUGAUACCGAAAUUCCACAUAAAAAUCCUAACAAUCACUAUGUACGACUUUCUGUUUCUUUUCUUUUCUCAAUUCAUUAUAAAACAAGAAUGAAAAAUGAUAAACAUGUUUAAAUAUUUAAUAAGAUUAAAAAGAUAUAUCAAAUUAAAAAAAAAAGUAUAUAUAUAGAGAGAGAGAGCAAGGAUCAAGAGCAUUCUCCUUAAAUAGCAUUCCUUUAUUAAAACUACGUCAUCUUGGAGUCUUUUCAAAGAGAGUGGUCCCACUUAUUUUUCUUUUAUUUACAAAAAUGCCACCCGUGGUCACUCCAAAACGACGUAGUUUUAAUAAAAGAGUGCUAUUUAAGGAGGAAUGAUAUUUAACAGAAAUGCUCUUGAUCCUUGCUCUCUCUCUCUCUCUCUAUAUAUAUAUAUAUAUGCAUAUACGUCAUAAUAAUAAUUUGACUAAAAUUUUUGGUAAUGUAUAGUAAGACUCAACAAGAAUUCACAUUUAAAUCCUUGCACAACAUUUAUCCAAAAAUUGCACUUUGAGAAUGUAAGUAGAUGCGUGCGUAGAUUUAGAGCUCGUUUGGUUUUUGGUUUUUUUUUUAAAUGAAUUAAUUAAAAGUAUUUUUAAAUUCAAUAUAAAUGUGUUACGAUAUUUGCUAUUUUUUUAAGAUUUUGCAUUCAAAAAUAUUUUUAGCUAAAAAUACAAAUUUUUUUCUUUUUUAAUGAAUUCUAACAGUACUUUUGGUAAACGUAUAAAAUAUAAUUUAAAUGGUUAAAAACAAAUAAAAUCUCAUAUCAUAUCAUACGUACGUUUAGUUAGUUACUUUAAAAUAGUAUAGUCAGUAUUAACUUGAAAAGCAAUUCUAUAAUUAUUAAAUCAGAUACUACUAUUUAACUUUUUUUAUAAAAAUAUUUAUAUUCAAAAAAUGUUUUAUCUCACCACAUGCAAUUACAUCACAUAUAUAGCUCCAUCAAAUGAGCAUUUAGCUAGUUGUGACGACUUGUUUUUAAAAAAUAAAAUCCUACGAUGUGGAUAUCUUAAAAUAAUUAGGCUAAGACCUCAUCAUCCUUUAAUUUAUUAUUAGAUACUCCUACUUUUAAAUAUAAAUAACAAGUAAACUUCUAUUAACUGUUAUAUAUGCAUGUGCAGUCGUAAAUAAGUUAAAAGUAAAAAUAUUAAUUAAAGAUUGACUUUAAAAAAAACUUUGAACUAUUAUUUUUUUUAAAAAAAUUUAACAUACGAGCCAAAAAAUCUUUUAAUAAUUAGAAGUUACGUACAGUGGAAUCGACAAGCCAAGUUUGAGUGAGAGAAUAUCCAGUGGCGGUGUAGUGCAUGGGCGGUUGGUGCGGGAGUAGUAAAAUGACGAGCCCGAGGACAUCGAUUAACAGCGUGGCCCUGUAUAUCACAUAUAUAUAGUUGGCAGAAUCCUUUGUAUCCACGACCUUCCUGCGAUUUGGAUUGAAUGGAGUCCUUUGAUUGGCGUGAUGCAUGUUGGAAGCGAUUUGGAUUGUGUUGAUGGCUUUGAUUUGCAUUAAUUAGAUCUGUAAUUUGAAGAACAACCAUGAGAUCCACCACGGUUGGCCUUAGAAGGGAAAUGAUUCUCCGUGAGUUAGUUGUACGAGCAGAAAGUACUAAUGGUUCAUGUCGGGCUUCUUGACGACGUUUGAGGUAGGCUUCAAAGUCAAUCAGUUUAUCAUAGAGAGAUGUGAUUUUCCCUAGCACGAAUUAAUUCCAGCAGUAAUUUCUUUGAAGUCAUCACCAACACCAUUGAGGAAGUGAAUAUAUAUAUAUAACGACAUCAUCAUUGAGAAGUGGAACAUCGAUGAGGGCGGGCUGCUAACUCAUCAGAGAUAACUUUACCAUCACGGGCCGGGUCGAGUGAGUCGUUCCUUGAGACUCAUAACUCGUAAGCGAGAUCGGUUCUCGUAUAGUCCCUUGAGUUUGUCCCAUGCUUCUUUGUUUGGAGGAUUUGGUGAAUGCAAUAAGGAAGGGUUGCAAUUGAGACAGCUAGAGACUGAAAUAAGAAUGGCAUGUAACAGGCCGUGCUGAUCAUGGCACUUCCAAAAACUUGUUGUUGCUGUACUGUGUUAUUAACCAUCGAUAUAUCCGAUUAAGUCAUAGCCAAUCAAGAGAGAAUCAAACUGAGCAAGCCAGCCAUGUUGGGUAGUUCAUAGGCGUAAGUUUGAGAGAAAGUUGGGUGUUAGCAAUGGCGAUCAAUGUCGCGUUUGAAUCAAGAGAAGCCGAGGCAGACACAUUAAGUGUUACGACAGUAGAUUCUUGAGCAGUUAUAGGAGAGGAAUUAAUUGGGUUUCUACUUUCUCGUGAGAGAUAAUAUACCAUAUAGAUUCUGAAUAUUGUUUUGAAUAAAGAGCAUAAUUAUUUCAUUACUGUUUGUUUGUUUUGUGAUGUAUAAUAUACAUGUAUACAACCUUUUACAAGAUCAAUUAGAAUAAAAAUAGAGUAUAUCCUAACUAUAGAGAGUUGCAGAUAAAUAUGGAAAUAAUUCCGUACGUGAAUUAAGCAUAGCUAGCUGGUAUAGCUAGCUGUGUUGUCCAACAGAUAUGAAUGAAAUUGAUAUUUUUUCCUAAAGAUAUAUGGAAUAUGAAUUGCAAUUUCUAUUUCUGAUCUCUCUAUUAUAUAUGUCUCUAGAACUCUCAAUAUAUUAUCUUCUCCCUCUAUGUCUGUUGUUUCCCUCACUACUCUAAAUCUUUCUUUAAUUCAUCAAAUUUAUCUGUACUCUUCUUAGUUACACUACUUGUUAGUGGAGUUCAGAUCUUAUAGCCAGUACUGAAGGUGAUGACGAUGAACGGGUGAGCUGGAGGUGCAUCCUUUUUGGUUUUUUAUUUAUUUUAAAUUUUAUAACUAUUUUGUUUUCAUCUGAUAAUUAAUAAUUUCUUCAAGAAAAAUUGAUAUCAAUAUAAUAAUUAUUUAUUGAACACGUCAUAUAUCGCAAUUUAAUUGAUUCUGGAAAUGAAGAGGUUGAUGACGAUGAGGACAUUAUUCAGAUCGAUACGAUCCGCCGGAUCGGAGGAGCUAGCUAGGAGGUAUAUAUAGUACGUAGUAGCGGGUGGGUUACCCCUUGUGGCUGGCCGUGGAGGUGGCGCCCGUCCCGGUUGGUGGUAACAUGUUAAAAGCGUACGUCCGACCGUUCAGGAGUGCAUGCAUGCAUGCAUGCCGGCCCACUAUAUAUAUAACACUGUCCCGGUAACAACUGUCUCACCUCUCCAUGGCCCAUGCUCCACUCUUUCACAACGUAACUCCACCACCAUGCAUGUAAUACUCUCCAAAUUAACGUACGUACUACGUAAGGAGGUGGAGAAAAGUCAUGUGGACGUACACCCAACUCACAAAUACUCUCCAAUUCCCGAAUUAUAAAUUAUGGAGUAUAUAUUAAGUUACUUUCACAUAUACUAGUUAGUAAUUAGUAGUAGUAUUUAAUUAUAGAACUGUUUUAGUUACUGAUCAUCAAGCUGUGCAGUAGUAAUUAUUCCAUCUUAUAUAUUUUUUUCAUCCAACAAGACCACUAGUUAAUGCCUGCCAGCCCGCACUAACAAUGAACCUGCUGUAAUAUUUGGGGAGAACUUGGAAUAUUAAGCUUCAUUUGAACGCUUAAACAUGUUAAUGAACGAGGAAUAUAUAUAUAUAUAUAUAUAUAUAUAUAUAUAUAUAUAUGUUUAUGGUAUUUUUUUUAUAUCUAAUUAAUUAUCUACACUUAAUUUGAAGAUAUGGACAGGUUUAUUCCAUUUUUUGUUUUUGGGAGUUUCUGAAAAAUUAACACGCACGGAAGUUGGAAUUAAAUCACCCGUCUUUUGUUUUUUUUUGAGGCCGGUCAAAUGGAGAUAUUUUUAGUAGUCCACCGAAUGAAUUAUAUAUGGUCAACCAUCUUUACUUACCAUAAUUAAUUUUUUAUGGUAAAAUUGAGCAAUAAAUGUGAUGAGUUCCAAUUAUAUUAUAUUACUCCCUUCGUCCUGGUGGACUUUUCACGUAUAUUAAGAAGAAGAAUAAAAUGACAAAAUUGCCUAUAAUAAUGUCAUUAAAUAUGGAGAGAGAAUUAGAAUAAGAAAAGUACGGGAUAUUUAAUGCUACGGGUAUAAUAGGAAAAUAUGUGUAAAAGUUUGGUUAUUAAAUGAAAAUAGACAUUUAACAUGGGACUACUCAAAAUAAUAAUAAGAACUUUUAUCAUGGGACGGAGGGUUUAAUAUAUAAUACUACAAUGAAUCCAAUAUUUAUUUAAUUUCCAAGUGUCGACGACCCAAUAUCUUGUUUUAAGGGCGAAGGGAGGGGAGUGGACUCCUCGAAUGUUGGUUGCAGAUGGGAUCGGGAUUAUAUAUAUAUAUAUAUAUAUAUAUAUAUAUACAGCAAGGAUCAAGAGCAUUCCCCUCGUACAAAACUUUCUUGUUACCGAACACUUUAGCUAUGACCUUUUCAUCCCGCUCCUGAGCCAAGUGAGGUCAAUGUGAUAUCUUUUUGAUUUGUAGAAUCAGGACCCGAUUUCCGCCAGAAUUGGAUGCGAGUAUCAUAUUCUUCAUGGAAUGGAAUGCUUCAACGACAAUCGAAUCAUUGAAGUAAUUUUAAGGAAAUGUGCCCCCCCACUAAAAGAGAGAUUAUAUCAACUGCAUCUGAAAUGCCAUCAUCAAAUGUUGAAUGAAUAGCAUCAUCAUUACCCUAAUCAUACCAACAUUUUUUAUAUACAAUAAUGAAUGUGAAGGAACACCUCCACAAGCUGUUCCCAAGGGCCCUAACAAGUUUGCUUCGCUUACUACGUGACUCGUAGCUGUGGAUGCACUGUGUUCUUCCAUGAACGUCUGAGUCCCUCGGUGAGUUCAAAAUAGCAUCACACACAACAUUUACAACAGCUGGACACUUAGUAGUAAGCGAAGCAAACUUGUCAGGACUUUGUCUUGGAAACAGCUCAAGGAGGCGUCCUCUGCACAUAUUGUAUUUAAAAUACAGUGAUCUGAUGGCUGCAACAGUGCUGAUAUUCUUGCAGCACAUUUGACAAUGGAGUUAAAAUGAUCUCCUUCUCACUAGGGGGUAAAGUUUAUUUGGAUUACUUGAUGAUCAAAUUGCCACUGGAGCUUUCAUUUAGUAAAAAAUAAGAUACAUCUGAUUAAGCCAUGAUAGAGCAGUAAUGCUAUACCUAAUAUUUUAGACGAGGAAUCAAUUAACAUUUUCUAGCAUGGAAAAGUUUUAUAACUGGAUCCCAAACUAACAUGAUAAUUCAAUGCUGAAAACCUCUGUUCAUCAAGAAUCAUCAUUUCAGAGACUAUUCUAUCCCAGUUUCUACAUUCUAUAAAUUGGUUCUAAUUUCUCAGAAAUACUGCAUAAUAGACCCUAAUUAGUUCAAGAGGAGGUUAGUGGCUAGGAAACUCAUGGCAAAAUCAUCAAUGUUUUUUGCAUAUAUAAGUUUGGCUACUAUCUGGAACUUAACCACAGGGUUCCAACUUCAUCACCAUAUAUAACCAUAAACCAUUACUCAUUUAAUCUGCACUGCUACUUGUCCCUUUAUAUCAUGGAAUAAAAAAACUAUAUAACAAAGGGAAAACCAUUAUCAACUUAUAAAAGUACUACAUCAAUUGAGAAGUGUUCUAUGAGGAUGUGCCCUACUAAUUUGCAUAAUAAAUUGGAAAUCCAAUAGAAGAAAGAUUGUUGGUUGAUCCACCAUAGAUGUUUCCAAUACUAUUUUUGUACAGGUAAUUUCAGCUCCAAGUAUGGGGAUUGGAACAAGCAACCUAGAGGUUAUUUCUCAUAUAUUUCAUAUAUGAGUCAUUCAAGCGAUAUUACAGAAGAAGAAUGAAAUGAAGCCUAUAAAGUAAAAAGGUAGAUGAUAAAGGUGUCAACUUUUAGGGAGUCCAACAUUUACUAGUAUGCCUUAAAGGAAGCUCUAGGGCUAGGAGCAAAAUAACACCAAAAUCUGCAAGCUUGUGCAAAAUCAUAAGCUUACCUGAGAAUCUCCCUCGAGGUCGUACCUGUAUAGUAAAACAUCCCACUUUUCAGCUGAAUUACGAGCUGGCCUCUUAACAAGGGGUACAACCUUCCCAUUCAAUGUAAUGAGUGAUUGCAGUAAACUAGUUUCACUUUCUGCAGCAUCCGUGGAGAGAUAUAUGACAGGAGUAUUAGCUCUUUCAACCACUCGGUUAAUGUAAUCUGCAGACUGAGGCACGGGGAAAAAGCAACUAGGCUUUUUGGCAUUGCUGACAAAUUAUUAGAAUAUGUUAGAGGCAUCACAAUGCAAAAAGCUCUCAGGAAAUCACACGCAUGCCUUAAACUAAUGCAUGGUGAGACAUUUUAGUGCAUCUUCAAACCAAAUUAAGGAAUAUUCCACGUAUACUCCUUUAUGUGCUAACCAAAUUUAAUACAACUGGCACGAGGAUAAUAAAAAAAACUAGCAACAAAAACAAGUGAGAUAAAAAACAAAAAUUGCAAGGCUGCAACUAUCGAUUUCAAACCAUAAAGUUUAGUAUGGAUACACAUAAAUACAAAAGCAAGAAAUAAGGGCAAGUAAGUGCAUUAAUAAAACUUCAAGAAGCCAUGUCACCGAAAAUGAAGAGCUAUAAAGCCUUCCCCAAGGAAUGUUUGGACGAACCGCUGGGCAGUUAGCAUAAUAAGACGGCUCGACUCAAUCAGAGUCUUACAUUUGUGGGCAAUAGGACCACCUGGUUGCAUCACCCACUCUUUCUCCACAUCAGCAAAGAAUACUUCUCCAAUUGCAAUAAGAUCAUCAUCGGACGAAAACUUUGACAUAACAACUUGAACGGUUCUUAACGUUGGUUUCUUGACAUCCUCAACCCAAGCAGGCUCAAGUUUAUUCAUAGAAACCCCCAAUGCCUUCAACUUCUUUACGUGAUCAUCAUCCACAAAACAAGGUGUCGGUAGCGAGAAGUAACAAAUGACUCUAUCUAUGUGCAAAUGAUUCUUUUUAAUCUCAGUAAACUCUUUAAACGUGACAACAACUUUCCUUCCCAAGCAUUUAUUAAUGUGAUCAAUAUCUAACACCCUACUAAACUUGUAAUCAACUUUAGAGCUUGGAAUAACUAAAACUUGGUUAAGUACAGCAGCAAAAAACAUAUGUUUUUCUAAACAUAUCAAGUGGUUUGACAUUUGGCCAGACACACAAAUUGCAAACAAGUAUUUAUUGGAUUUCGGCUUCCACUCAAUGGUUCUCCUCUCUGAAAACCUUGAAUCAAGCUUUCGACACCUAUUGAGACCAUCAAAAGAAGUCAGAAUGGGGUCUGUACUAUUAUUAUCUUCCAAAUCCAAGGAAUAUCCUAGUUGAUGCGACGAUAAAAGAGCCUGUUGAAUUUGUUUAUUCAGUGAAAUCUGAACAAGUAGAGCAGACUUAACAUGUUCAUAUGAUGGGGGUAAGAGAUCAAUGGAGGAGUGGUUUGAAGUAGAAAUGGAAGAUUGAUUUGAGAAUGUCUGAUUCCAUAACUCGAGAAGCCCUAAUUGCUGGUUUCUCAACAAAAACAAAGCUUGUAAUUCGGAUUCCCGCAUGCGAUUAACAGAAGCGUCGAAGUUAACAUUGGAAGCACUAGAUUGGAAUAAGGAUUUGAUGUCUGUAGUAAAAUAGGCUAGAACUGUAAGACCCCAAAUUAUUAAUAAAUGAAAUUUAAAUUCCUCUAUUUAUUAUUUUGAAAUAGUAAGGGUUGAUGUGAUUAAUAUGAUUAGUUAUGGGUAAAAUACGCAAAUAUCUUAAAUAAGCAGGUGGUUAUAAAAUAUUCAUAUUUUGUCGGAGAAUAUUCGUUUGGUCGUGAAAUAUUCUUGCUGUCGGGGAAUAUUCGUACGACAGCGCAGCCUUGUGUGGGCCCCAUAACGGAAAGUGAUUGGAUGAAGAAAACGACAAAAAUAAGUUGUUUAUUAAUAAUGGCGUUGUUAUUACCGUUAAUACUAUUAAAAUACUCGGUGGUUAAAACACAGUAGCACACGAUAUUGCACCAAUUAUUGAUUCUUACGUAAAAAGACACUACUCAAUAAUUGUUACAGUAAUUACUGUUCAGUAUUUUAUUUUAUUGAUUCAAUAAUUGCUGCAUUGAUAUUUUAUAUUACUGUUGUUUCAAUAAUUGUCAUUACACAGUAUUUUCCAUUAUCGGAGCAAUAAUUCAUAUUAUCUGAAUAAUAUUAUUAGAUAACAUUAUUGGCAAUGUCUAGAAAGUUCUGUCUAAGGAGAGGUUUGGUCACCUAAUUGCGCGCCAGUAAGAAGAAAUCCUUAUUGGAAAGCCCCCUCUAUCCUAGGAACUGUCUGGUUGUCAAUAAUGUGAUUCUGUAAUAUUAUUUAUGAAUAAUUAAUUCUUGAUUUAUAUGAUGAGGAAAAUAUUAAUUUUAUGAGGAUAUAGAUGGAGAAUUUUUAAUGUGACAAUUGUAGAAAAUUAAUAUUUUAUCUUUUUCUGAUAAAAUAAUUCAUUUAAAUAUAUUAUUUUAAUAAUAUAUUAACGAUGAUAUUUUUAUAAUGAAUGUGGGAUAUAUGAGUAUAUGAGGAGGAAGAGUAUUUUUGUGGCAUUAAAUGUUUAACACAUAUUUUGUGUGUUGGUGGACACAAUUAUUGACCGAAAUUUGAUUAUAGCCUGCAAAAUCGUCCGUUUGUGAAUUUCGGUCAAUUUCUGUUUGGAAUUUAAAAAACUUUCCUUCUGCAAAGUUGUAGAUAAUGGAAUUUCCUAUAGAAAGUCGCGAGUUUUGAAUUUUUCUGACAAAAGAGCUAUUUUUUGUGAAUUAUUGAAGUUCCAAAGCUCUAAAAUAAUUAAUUUUAAAAGUUUAAAUUAUUUUAAAUUAGAAAAACGUUUUUUUUGUUAGUCUUGGGAGGUGGGCUAUUUGGUGGCUGAUGUUUGGGCAAGUUAAGUGUGCGUUGGAAAAAAAUAAUAUAUAUUAUUAAUUUAUUAAAUUUUCUGCUUUGGUGUUCUAAGCAUUUUCCUAUAAAUAGGGUGCUUAGGUUAGAAUUGAAAAUUACACUAGAAACAGAAGUUUUCUCUAUAUUUCUCUCUCUAUAUAUUGAGCGUAUUCUUGUGAGAAUUUUGAUACUUUGAGUAUUGUUAUACGGUGCAAGUUCCCUUCAGCACUAUACCCAGUAUUCCAGCUAGAAAUACUAAUCUUUCGAGGUAAGUGAUAUUAUUUUUUUUUAAAAUGAUAUUAUUUCUUCAAUAUCAUUAUGCAAAAAUAUUGAUGAACUUUUUAAUCAAAUUUGGAAUUUUUUGUGUCGGAGUUACUAUUAACGUAUACAGCACUAUUCACGUAUACGGCACUAUUCACGAAUACGGCACUAUUCAUCGAAAAAUAAAAAAAUUUCUUUUCGUCCAAAAUAUCUAUUAUGGAUACUAGCUUUGAUUGUAUCCAUGUUUUGAUCAUUCUUGAAUUUUACACCACUAUGAUUAUUUAUAAGGUAUUUUUGGACAUGAAAUAGCUGAAAUACGAAUCCUAAAUACUUAUUCUUUUGUUUCACUGGAUUCGUUUUCUUUAAAAUAUUUUUCAUCAUCCUUAGUCCUAAAUGAUGGUAUUACUGAAUAUCUUUGGCCUGUAGUGCAAAGAUGGUUGAUUUUUUUAUGAAUAUCUUUGGCCCGUAGUGUAAAGAUGUACAUGUGUUGAGAUGAACAUGACCAACUAAUGAAUAUCUUUGGCAUGUAGUGCAAAGAUGAACAUUUGACUCAAGAUGUGUAUUGAUUGAUGUUACAGGGAUAAAAUAAUGAUGAUGGACUGUUAAAUUCAUAGAUAUUAGUAGAUUUCAUCCUCUACGUAACUCUUCUAUGAAUUAUUAUUUCCGCUGCAAAUAUUGAUCUAAAACUUGUUGUUUAUUAUAUUCUCUCAGAUUUUUCCCUGUUGAAGACUAGCAAUAAUUUGUUGUUUAUUGUCUUAGUCAUAAUAUUCUUUACUGGGCUAGUUGAGCUCACUCUUUUCCUUUUUUGUUCCAUUUUUCUUCUCAAGAGGCGAGAAUGUAGCGAGUACUAGUCGGGGUAUGGAAUGAAGGUUCUAGAGAGAGUUGUUUAGUAGUCCUCACUAUUUUUGUAAAAUAAUGUAUCAAUAAAUGUGAUGAGGAUUUAUUUGGGUAUAGAUAUUGUCUAGAAGAUAAUAUUUGUAUUCAAACUCACAGUUUUACUAUUGUAAUAACAAAGUUGUAGUUGUUUCUGUACCAUGUAUUGACAACUCAGAAUGGGUGAUGUAUACUUAUUUUGGGGGCGUCACAAGAACGAAGAGAAGAGGAAGGAAAAUUACAAAGAGAUACCUCUUGUUGAAGCUUGAAAGAAGACGUCGAUUGGUUAGAGUUGUUGAGGGGUUGUCGAAUUCAUCAAUAUGGAAACUGGAACGAGGAGGAGGAGG
rnacentral:lncRNA from 1 species